rnacentral:rRNA from 1 species
UACGUAGGGGGCGAGCGUUAUCCGGAAUUACUGGGCGUAAAGAGCUCGUAGGCGGUUUGUCGCGUCGUCUGUGAAAACUCGAGGCUCAACCUCGAGCUUGCAGGCGAUACGGGCAGACUUGAGUACUGCAGGGGAGACUGGAAUUCCUGGUGUAGCGGUGAAAUGCGCAGAUAUCAGGAGGAACACCGGUGGCGAAGGCGGGUCUCUGGGCAGUAACUGACGCUGAGGAGCGAAGCGUGGGUAGCGAACAGG